GGUGCAGGUGGGUGCUUAGGGCACAGGUGGGUGCUGUGGGGUGCAGGUGGGUGCUGUGGGGCUCCGAGUGGUGCUGUGGGCAUGGGUGGGUGCUGUGGGGCAGCUGAGCAGGAACACCCAUGCCCAAGCAGCUGAGGGGUGCAACACACAGCACCCCCACCGCCACCCCGCAGCUGCCAGCAGAGCCAGGAGCAGCAGGGAUUUGGGUGUCCCCGCACUCUGGAACGGUCCCUGGGCACUGGGAGGACCCCGGCCCCAUGGGGCACUGGGGGGGGACCUGGUUUUACUUGGCAUCGUGCUCCCUUCUCACACCCGGGGUCCCCCGGGGCUGAGGUUUGUGGUGCCACAUGUUUGGGGGGAUGCCGGGGCAAGUGCUGCUCCCCGCGGUCCCCGUCACACCCUCGGGGAGCCGAGACUGUCCGUCGGGAAAGGCAGGGUUAACGGUCAGCAACGAGGAGAUCGGCCUAAAUCUGGCGCUUAUUUGGGUUCGGUGCCAAAAAAGACAUUAGGAAGCGGAAGAGGAUGUAUUCCCACGCUGGGGUGGCCGGGGGGUGCCCCGGGUCCCGCAGAGCUCCCCGGGGACGAGAGGUCCCAUGCUGGAUGCGGCCCUUGGGGCUGGGAGACGCUGGGUGCUGCUAACGGGAGGACAGGCGGAUUGGGGGCAGCUUUGGGAGGGGGGUUUUUGCCGUAGGAGUGGGGGCAGCCGGGCAUUGGGCUGUGGGCAGCGGGGAUCCUCCUGGCACUGGGGAUUGCUGGCUGUGCCCAGCGCCGGCGUGGGAAGCAUCACCGGUCCUCGCCCCGGCCACCCUGCCCCGGUUUUGGGGGCACUGCUGGGAUGAAGACCACGCGCUCCAUCCCCGGCACGAAGCCGGGUCGUCCCGGGAGUUUUCCUCUGCCACCACCAGCCGUCCACGGAGGAAGGACAAACCCGGCCGAUCCUGUGUCAAACCCUCCCGCUGAACUGCAAAAUAACGAUGAUAAUAGUAAUAAUAAAAAAUCAAUAAACAUUUAUUCGA